CUGAACCACUGAACUACAUCCCCAGUCCUAUUUUGUAGUUUACUUAGAGACAGGGUCUCACUAAGUUGCUCAGUGCCUUGCAAUUGCUGAGGCUGGCUUUGAACUCACAAUUUUUCUGUCUCGGCCUCCCAAGCUGCUGGGAUUACAGGUGUGUGCCACCACACCUGGCUAUUAUAAUUCUUUAUAUGGAGUUUUUCCUCCAUAAAUUGACAUAUUCAGGAAGACUUUCUUGGUAUUUUUAUCCCAAAGGCUAAGCACUGUACCUAGACAUUAUUAGUAGAUGGUAGAUUACUAAAAUAAUUAUGAAUAUUAUAAUUAAGAAUUAUUAAAACUCAUUUUAAAUGAUUUUUGUGACUAAAGGAAUUAUUACACGUUUGUAUUGGACACACAUACAUGGACUUUUGGAUUAUGUUUUCUAAACAGGAUUGUAACAAUUCAUUUUUUAAUAUUGAUGCAGUUUAGCACAUAUGGAAUACCUUUAUCAUUGGAAAUUUGUAUCAGUUGAUCUCAUAUAAUCUCAAGUGAACACAAUAUAAAUACUAAGCGAUAAUCCCUUAAUAUUAAAAUUUUUAAAAAUGUUAAUGGAAAAACUAUAGUUUUAUGGGUUUAAUCCUUUAGGCUUUUAAUUCCACCUUGAAAAUAUUUAUUUUGAACAUUGUGAAACUCCACCCAGAGGGAGUUACUGGGAGACCUCAGAGUGGAAGCUUGGGAAGCAAUGUGGGCAGUCUGAAGGAUCGCUGUGGGAACUGUGUUAGUUAACUUUGUGUCCCUGUGACCUAAAGACCCAGCAAGAACAACUUAAAGAAGGGAAAGUUUUAUUUGGUUUACAGUUUCAGAGGUCUUAUAGAUGGCUGACUCCAUUGCUUUGGGCCUAAGGUGAGGCAGAACAUCAUGGCAGAAGGUUGUGGUAGGAAGCAGAGAGAGUUCUGCUCACCAGGAACAAAAUAUAAACCCCAAGUCACACUCCCAGUGUCCCACCUCCUCCAGCUGUAUCCUACCUGCCUACAGUUAUCACCCAGUUAAUCUGUAUCAGUGGGUAAUAAACUGAUCACUUCACAUCUGAAAAUUGUCAUUUUUCAUUUCACCUCUGAAAAUUCUUACAUUGUCUCACACUUGAGCUUUGGGGUGGGGGAAUUGGCUUAAAAUCUAAAACCCAAUAGGAACUUAAUCUGCUCAGUUUUUCCUCAGUCAAAGCUCUAGGCCUAAUCUGGGUGUAGUGGCACAUGCCAGUAUUUCCAGCAAUUCCAGAUUGAGCUAGGAAAUCACCAGUCCAAGGGCAGCCUCAGCAAUUUCAAGAGGCCUUUUAUCAACUUAGUGAAACCCUGUCUCAAAAAAUAAAAAAGACUGGAGAGGUACUCUGGGGUAAAGCACCUCUGGGUUCAAUCUUCAGUACCCCCCCCCCCGGCAAAAAAAAUAAAAUCAAAACCAAAACAACAACAACAACAAAAAUUCCUCCAGAUCUACAAAUGAAGAUAGAGCUCAAGAUUCAAGUUCCCUAAACUUUAAGAAAUAGUCCUCUUUAUAACUGGAGAAAUCUGUUUUUGACUAUGUAAAAAGGAAAUAUUGCAAUUAUGGAGACAUUUGAAAAAUAUAUAAUUGUAUUUAUGACACAUAAUUUGUACUAUAGAAGAAGCAAAACCUUUCAUAUAAGAAGAACUAAAAUAUACAAUAUACCGCUUUGAUUUUGAUGUUACAGAUCAUUCACUUAAACAUUUAGGUCAUUAGCUUUCAGAAAUUAUCUUCCAUUAUUAGACAGUAGGGGACAGGUAAAGAAAAAAUUAGGCUUGGAAAUUAUUUGACUUGGAAAUCAUUAUAAUACUGAAAUAAUCCAAUUGUAUCACCUUGAC
rnacentral:lncRNA from 1 species